AAGUUUCAACAACGGAUCUCUUGGCUCUCGCAUCGAUGAAGAACGCGGCGAAAUGCGAUAAGUAAUGUGAAUUGCAGAAUUCAGUGAAUCAUCGAAUCUUUGAACGCACCUUGCGCUCCUUGGUAUUCCUUGGAGCAUGCCUGUUUGAGUAUCAU
rnacentral:rRNA from 1 species